ACAGAUGGAUUCAUUUUAAGUUUUAUCCUUUUUCAGUCAAGAGAUGCUAAUGAGGCCACUUCACUUUGCACCAUGACCCUGGCUGGCACAGUGUGUGCCAACACCAGCCACGGGAUGGACUGGAGCAGCUGCCUUCCCCAGGGCCAAGCCAUUAUUUCCAAAACUACAGAAAAACAUUAUCCUGCUGAAUAAUGGCUGAAGAGACCAAGCACCAUCCCAGCCAUCUCACUCCAGGAUUAGGGACUGUGCCUAACCCUGGAAUUACUGACAUCUGUAUAUCAUUUCAGUGGUAAAUUACAGCUGGGACAUGCUAACCCCAAAGUGAAAAUAAAGACCCCAGACAUCAUCAAAGCUGUUACAGGUCUCUAGGAAUAGCUCCAUUUUAGUCUCAGAUGUGAUGAUAUCUAAGCAUUGGCUGGGAAUCUCUGUUCUCAUCAGUA